CAUACCGCUUAAAGAUCUCACACAAAUAGCAAUUGGUGAUGUCUUCAACAAUAACCUCAUCUUGUGGGCCAACAGAGAAAUCAUUCACAGCGUUCCUUGAAGGUAUUGACAUGAUGCAAAUAUCUUUAUUCGUACAAAUAACAUUCAAGCAUAUCAUUCAGUGUUGCAAUAAGUUAAGAUAAGCUCCUUUCAGAGAUGCUGGGAAAGGCUGGCUUUUGCCUCCAAAACAUUGCUCCCUAAUUUUGGCUCCUUCUAUACAUUUCCACUAAAAGCCUUGCCCGGAGCAAGAAGGAAGCUUACCCUGCCCACCCCUCAUUGCCCCUGGCUCCUGUUCCCCUUUCCAAUGCUAGCAGUAGGGCAAGAGGGAGGUUUAUUUUCAACGUGAAACUUAACUGUAUAUUUAAUUCCUUCUACCAAAGCCUGCAUUAAGGCUAAUGCAUUACAAAACAUACAUACCCGCAAACUGUUGAGAUAGUGAGCAUUGUUUUAAGCUAUUCAUCUCUUUGUCAAAAAAAUAUACAUAGCCUGAAACCAUCACUAAAGUAGCAGAUUUUACUUUUUUUAAUUUGAAUUUUCCAAAUUCUGUUGGUCUUACCCUUCAAGUUUAUUUGUGCCACAUGUACAUAAACUAACCUACUUUCUCAAUAUUUUGCAAUUUGUGAAAAAAUAAAGCCUGUUGCAGGCAUGAACAAAGUGGCAGGGAGGUUCCAGCCUGAGAGUCUGGAAUCCUUUUGUGGUGAAGACUCCUAAACUGUCAGCAGGAAUCACACUCCUUUUCUUCCUUUUAAUAACAGACCCAAUUCCCUCUCUACCUCUCUGUAUUCACUGGCUACAUGGCUGCCUAGUUAGGGACUAUCUUUAGCUAGCUGUGUCCACAUGACUCAGUUUUGGCCAAUACAAUGUAAGUGGAAGUUAAAGUGAUGCGUAUAACUGAAAAGGCUUGCCCUGGACUUCUUCGUCAUCCUCUUCCUCAUCUGGCUGGGGGGAAUCAGUACAAGGACAGAGCCAACUGACCCACCUGGAAACUCUUUACCUUGUGGAUCUGCUCACCGUUGAGCUGAAUUUGAGAAAAACAAACUUCUACCCCUUGUUUUAGACACCAGGGUUUUGUAUCUUUUCCUUACAGCAGCUUGCUCUCUACUUUAACCAGUACAGCAAGAAAUGUAUUCUCUCCUAACAAACCCGACCAAGAAUCUUCCCCUACCCACUAAAUGACUUUGAUUUAUUAAGACAACUUAAAAGCCAAAUUAAUGGAAUUAAGUAACAUUUAUUUUACAUAAAACAAU
rnacentral:lncRNA from 1 species